rnacentral:rRNA from 1 species
UACGAAGGGGGCUAGCGUUGUUCGGAAUUACUGGGCGUAAAGGGCGCGUAGGCGGUACUUCAAGUCAGGCGUGAAAGCCCCGGGCUCAACCUGGGAACCGCGCUUGAGACUGAAGAACUAGAGUUCGGGAGAGGAUGGUGGAAUUCCCAGUGUAGAGGUGAAAUUCGUAGAUAUUGGGAAGAACACCGAUGGCGAAGGCAGCCAUC